rnacentral:tRNA from 1 species
UCACAGAUGGCUCAGUGGUAAAGAACCUGCCUGCCAAUGCAGGAGAUGUGGGUUCGAUCCCUGGUUUGGGAA